UGAACCUGAGUUGAUGAUAACGGACGAC
rnacentral:sRNA from 1 species